rnacentral:rRNA from 1 species
GAACGUACCCUGGAGUGGGGGAUAACGUAGCGAAAGUUACGCUAAUACCGCAUACGAUCUAAGGAUGAAAGCAGGGGACCGCAAGGCCUUGUGCUCCUGGAGCGGCCGAUAUCUGAUUAGCUAGUUGGUGGGGUAAAGGCCUACCAAGGCAUCGAUCAGUAGCUGGUCUGAGAGGACGACCAGCCACACUGGAACUGAGACACGGUCCAGACUCCUACGGGAGGCAGCAGUGGGGAAUUUUGGACAAUGGGCGCAAGCCUGAUCCAGCAAUGCCGCGUGAGUGAAGAAGGCCUUCGGGUUGUAAAGCUCUUUUGUCAGGGAAGAAACGGUGGAGGCUAAUAUCCUUUGCUAAUGACGGUACCUGAAGAAUAAGCACCGGCUAACUACGUGCCAGCAGCCGCGGUAAUACGUAGGGUGCAAGCGUUAAUCGGAAUUACUGGGCGUAAAGCGUGCGCAGGCGGUUUUGUAAGUCUGUCGUGAAAUCCCCGGGCUCAACCUGGGAAUUGCGAUGGAGACUGCAAGGCUAGAAUCUGGCAGAGGGGGGUAGAAUUCCACGUGUAGCAGUGAAAUGCGUAGAGAUGUGGAGGAACACCGAUGGCGAAGGCAGCCCCCUGGGUCAAGAUUGACGCUCAUGCACGAAAGCGUGGGGAGCAAACAGGAUUAGAUACCCUGGUAGUCCACGCCCUAAACGAUGUCUACUAGUUGUCGGGUUUUAAUUAACUUGGUAACGCAGCU